CCUACGGGUGGCAGCAGUGGGGAAUAUUGGACAAUGGGCGAAAGCCUGAUCCAGCCAUGCCGCGUGUGUGAAGAAGGCCUUCGGGUUGUAAAGCACUUUCAGUGGGGAAGAAAGCCUUGGGGCUAAUACCCUCGAGGAAGGACAUCACCCACAGAAGAAGCACCGGCUAACUCCGUGCCAGCAGCCGCGGUAAUACGGAGGGUGCGAGCGUUAAUCGGAAUUACUGGGCGUAAAGCGCGCGUAGGCGGUCUGAUAAGCCGGUUGUGAAAGCCCCGGGCUCAACCUGGGAACGGCAUCCGGAACUGUCAGGCUAGAGUGCAGGAGAGGAAGGUAGAAUUCCCGGUGUAGCGGUGAAAUGCGUAGAGAUCGGGAGGAAUACCAGUGGCGAAGGCGGCCUUCUGGACUGACACUGACGCUGAGGUGCGAAAGCGUGGGUAGCAAACAGGAUUAUACCCUUGUAGUC
rnacentral:rRNA from 1 species